rnacentral:rRNA from 1 species
UAGGGUUUGAUCCUGGCUCAGGAUAAACGUUGGCGGUGUGCCUUAUGCAUGCAAGUCGUACGAGGUUAUGGUCUUCGGAUUGUAACCGAGUGGCGAACGGUUGAGUAACACGUAAGUAACCUGCCUGCAAGUGGGGAAUAACCUGUCGAAAGGCAGGCUAAUACCGCAUAUGAUAAUCGAGUAUUGCUUGAUUAUUAAAGCCUUAGGGUGCUUGGAGAUGGGCUUGCGUCUGAUUAGCUAGUUGGUGAGGUAAUGGCUCACCAAGGCGAUGAUCAGUAGCUGGUCUGAGAGGAUGGUCAGCCAGAUGGGGAUUGAGAUACGGCCCCAACUCCUACGGGAGGCAGCAGCAGGGGAUAUUGGGCAAUGGGCGAAAGCCUGACCCAGCGACACCGCGUGAGGGAGGAAGGCCUUCGGGUUGUAAACCUCUUUUCUCGAGGAAGAAUUUUGACGGUACUCGAGGAAUAAGCCUCGGCUAACUACGUGCCAGCAGCCGCGGU